rnacentral:rRNA from 1 species
GAUGAACGCUAGCGGCAGGCCUAAUACAUGCAAGUCGAACGAGAUUAAGAGGCUUGCUUCUUAUGAAAGUGGCGCACGGGUGCGUAACGCGUAUGCAACCUACCUUAAUCAGGGGGAUAGCCCGAAGAAAUUCGGAUUAAGACCGCAUAAAAACACAGGAUAGCAUUAUCCAAUGUUCAAAUAUUUAUAGGAUUAAGAUGGGCAUGCGUGUCAUUAGCUAGUUGGCGGGGUAACGGCCCACCAAGGCGACGAUGACUAGGGGAUCUGAGAGGAUGACCCCCCAGACUGGUACUGAGACACGGACCAGACUCCUACGGGAGGCAGCAGUAAGGAAUAUUGGUCAAUGGAGGGAACUCUGAACCAGCCAUGCCGCGUGCAGGAAGACAGCCCUCUGGGUCGUAAACUGCUUUUAUUCGGGAAUAAACCUUUCUACGUGUAGGAAGCUGAAUGUACCGAAGGAAUAAGGAUCGGCUAACUCCGUG